UUGCGGGGGUGGGGGGGGGGGAGAGAACAAAAACAAAACCCCCAAACCCAAGAGCCAAAAAACCUAUUUGUUUUACUGAAACAAACCUAGGAAAAGCUGACCUUGGUUCAUUUCAGAGAAGGAAAUCUUCUGGGACACCCAACUUACCUGUUGUCUCUGCAACUUGACUUCUUUGCGAAGUUGCUCAACUUCCAUCUUCAGCUUUUCCUUUUCUGGCAGAUCUUCGAUGUGAAGGGCUCUUUCUCAGGUCCCCACUACCCCGGGAGGCCUGCCCCAGUGAGUCCAGGGAGGGUUCAGUUUGCGGGGCGGCUGAAAUAGUGAGGCCGUGCGCUCUCCCGCGGGGAUGCCGCUCCCCGGCUCCCGACCCUGCCACGCCCGCGGAGGACCGGCCUGGGCUGGAGCCCAAGGUUGGAGCUGAGCUAGCCCACUUCCACUUUCCUGGAGA
rnacentral:lncRNA from 9 species